UUGUCUCCACUGAGGGCCAAGGGAUGAGGCCAUUUGCUAUGCUGGGUCCUCAUUCCUCAUACAUAGCCAUCAUCUCACUCAGUCACUAGCCCUUUCUUCCUUUACAAAAUCCCCUCCACCCUGCCCAGGUUGUUGUGGUCAACACCUCUAGCCUCCCAGCCACCUUCCCUCAGUGUAGCAGUGAUGGCAAACCUAUGGCACGUGCUCUCUGGGGGCACAAGACCACCCUCCCCACCAGAGUUUGUUACUAGAAAGGCAGAGGGACCUGGAGCUGCUCCCCUCUCUCUCCACAUUUUUGUCCAUGGCCCCUCUACCCAACAGCCCAUGGGAGCAAGAUAGGAGGCACACAAGGGUCACUCUCUACAUUCACCGGCCAUUCCUCAGGAGACCCACCUCUCUGCCCAGCAGUCCAAUGGGAUCAUCCUCCUCCUCCCUCCCCUUUGUGAAGUAAGGGGGGGGGGGGUGGCAUUCCACCUCUAAAAGGUUCACCAUCACUGCCUCAACGUGUCCCCGCUGCCCGAGCUCCGUCACACUCACACAGAAGCUUGUUCCGGCGGCUGUUGGGAGGCUCUGGAGCCUUGGAGUCGGGAUCGCUGCGGGGCUCGUCCUCUUCGGCCGGCCGAAAACAAGCCAGGACUCGCACAAAGCCUCGGAAAUCCACACACUGACCCCUGCGGGAAGGAAAGAGGCGGCUCGGCCCCUCCCUCCACUGGGGCCCUCCGAGACUCGGGUUUGGGUCAGGGUCGCCCCUGGGCCCGUCCUCACCCGUCGGGGAAGAAGGUGUUGAUGAUCCUGUCGCCCAGAGGGUUCACUUGCAGUUCGCGAAUGCUCUGCAGAUCCAGGCGGCUGUUGGGGAAGGAGGGAGAAGGGCCCGGAAGCGGUGAUGGAGGCGAUUGAGAAUGGCCAAAGAGACUGGACGGGGGAAGAGGGGGGAGAAUCAGGGCCUUGGAGGGUUCCAACUCAAGAUCUGGGGCUGCGGCGUCAGAGCCCGCUGGUCCCAGAGCCAGGGUGGGAAGGGGGCACAGACUUGCCCAGGCCUCAGGGCUCCGUGCCUGGCCCACCCACCCCGGCUCAGGAUGCCGGAGCACACCAGGGACAGAGACGGCGGGGCGGGGCGGGGCUGAGCAAAGAUCAGAUCUCUCCGCCCGACCAGCCCUCUCCCUUCCCCCUCCCCCCAAAGCCCCCAGUUGGAUAAGGUGAGCAGAAGAGAGCGCCCGCUAGUCCCUUUCAGCCGUUGGGGCCUCUGACCACCCGGAACUUCACCGAAAGCCUGGGUUCGAGGCCUAAUCCUGGCUCUGCUUAAGGAUCAGCGGGACUGUGUCCUCUACCCCACCCCCCCUGCCACCGCCCCAGCCGCCCAGCUUCAGCCCCGACCCCGGUCGCGGGAAGCCUGGAACACCUGGGUCCGCGGCAGUGCCACUCACAGCCGGUCUCCUUCUGGAUCAAGUCCAAGUCUUCCAAUUCCGAGAGGGAUUCAGGCGUCCUCGAAGCCUCGCCUGUCAGCAGGUCCCCUUGAGACACCGAACCUUGAAAAGAAAGGCCCCCUUACUGGGUUUGGAAGGUCCGAGGCGGCAUCCAACCGCCCCCAGUAGGCUCUCGGGGAUUCUGGAACUCCUCCGAGCCGGGCCUCCCACACUCCUCAGUGGCCAAGAGAACAAAGGCGAUAUUCAGGGCUCUUCGGAAAGCACCCGGUGCUGGCCUUUAGGACCGACAAGUGCUUGGGGAUCGCAGAGAACCGGAGGGUUGUCUUCAGGGCCUGGACACAGAUAUCUCCUCCCCAGAAGUCUCUUCCUUGGGCAGUGUUUCAGCAUAUUUCUGGAGGCUCUCCCUCUCCAUCUACCUCCAGUGGGGCACCCCCUCUGGAACGUGCCAGGCCACAUGUGGUUGGACCAAGCCAAAGAGGAGCAGGAAGGGCAUCCCCCAAGACAGCCCUCUUCCUGCAUCCUCAAGGAGCACUCGUAUUGGUCUUAUCUGGUGGUGCUCCCUCACCAAGAAUGGGUGUCGUGGGAGAGAGACCUUGGCACCUGUGCUAAGCACCGAAUAAAGAUCUGGCAGCAGUGUGUGGAGCUACUGAUAAAAGGCUGACCAGAGAGGUGAGUAUAGACUGGCCAGGGUGGUGGGUAUACAGGGUAGAGCAGCAGAUAUAGACUGGCUAAAGUGGUGGGUGUAGACUAGCCAGUGAGUAUAGGCUAGCCAGAGUGGUGGGUAUACAGGGUAGAGCAGCAGGUAUAGACUGGCUAAAAGUAUAGACUAGCCAGAGUGGUGGGUAUAGGCUGCUGCCCAGGGCAGUGGGUAAAGCCUGGCCAGAAUGCAUUACUCAGUUUUUAGGACUUGAUGAGACAUUGGUAAAUCAGCUCCUGCGCCAGUGCUGUUACCGGAAUGUCAAAAGAAUUGGUGUCAACCACGGCAGAACAUUUCCCCCAGUUGUUGUUGCCUUCGAGAGAUGGGUUUUAAUCCUGAACAUUUGAACGUGAACUUAAUUGUGUUUUGUCAACAUGAUCAAGCACAGAGCAGCCUCAGAGUUGUGCCCUUUGCAGAGCUAAAGCCUUGCUUGUAUUUGUCAUUCGACUAUUCGAAUCUGAAAAAAAAUCAAGACAAUAAAUUUUCGGUAUUUCUGACUGAAUGGACUCCACUGAUCACUGGCCUAAUCUUAGACAGUCCAGAAAGCUGGAAAGUGGAGCGAAAGAAUGGGAAAUUGAUGCACAAUGGUGAGCAGCUGCCAUGCUGGAAGGCGCGUGUCCUGCCUCUCUCCUUCUGCUUGGUGGGCUUGGCAGAGAUUAGCCAGCAUGAAUUUCUGCAAGCUCUUGACCUAAUGGUUGACAUUCUGGAAGACCUUCACUGACACUGCAGCCAGGACCAUCUACCAUUCAGAGAGUGCUGAUCAGCCAAAGGAAAGAAAAUGGGACAGAAAGGGCGGCACCUUCUCCUCAGUCGUUCCUGGCAACUUCCCCAAAACUGACCAUGAAAAUCAGGCAUCAAAACAUCAUACCCAAGUGUAGGAAAGCAGACACAUUAAGUGCAUGCUUCUCAGACGAGGAUGCUCAACAAAGAGCAGCAGGAAAAAAGAGGCAACAUAGCAAAACUCGUGCAAUGCAGCAAAGCUGUACGUGGAGGGAAAUUUACAUCCUCAAAAGCUUACAUCAAUAAAAUACAGAAAGAGCAAAUCAACAAGUUGGGCAUGCAAAGAAUAAAUUUAAAAUCCCCAUUGAAACACCAAAGUGAAAAUCCUGAAAAUCAAGGGAGAGAUUAAUAAAAUUGAAAGUAAGAAAGAAAAUCAUUGAACUACCAGAUAGGGAGUUGGUUUUAUGAAAAAUAAAAUAGAAAAACCAUU